rnacentral:rRNA from 1 species
UAGGGAAUCUUCGGCAAUGGACGGAAGUCUGACCGAGCAACGCCGCGUGAGUGAAGAAGGUUUUCGGAUCGUAAAGCUCUGUUGUAAGAGAAGAACGAGUGUGAGAGUGGAAAGUUCACACUGUGACGGUAUCUUACCAGAAAGGGACGGCUAACCACGUGCCAGCAGCCGCGGUAAUACGUAGGUCCCGAGCGUUGUCCGGAUUUAUUGGGCGUAAAGCGAGCGCAGGCGGUUAGAUAAGUCUGAAGUUAAAGGCUGUGGCUUAACCAUAGUAGGCUUUGGAAACUGUUUAACUUGAGUGCAAGAGGGGAGAGUGGAAUUCCAUGUGUAGCGGUGAAAUGCGUAGAUAUAUGGAGGAACACCGGUGGCGAAAGCGGCUCUCUGGCUUGUAACUGACGCUGAGGCUCGAAAGCGUGGGGAGCAAACAGGAUUAGAUACCCUGGUAGUCCACGCUGUAAACGAUGAGUGCUAGGUGUUAGACCCUUUCCGGGGUUUAGUGCCGUAGCUAACGCAUUAAGCACUCCGCCUGGGGAGUACGACCGCAAGGUUG